UCUCAGGUGGCUCAAUGGUAAAGAACAUGCCUGCAAUGCAGGAGAUACAGGUUCAACUCCUGGGUUGGGAA
rnacentral:tRNA from 1 species